rnacentral:rRNA from 1 species
ACAGGCUAGUUCCGCCUAAGAGUUCAUAUCGACGGCGGAGUUCGGCACCUCGAUGUCGGCUCACCACAUCCUGGGGGUGGAGAAGCUCCCAAAGGUUUGGCUGUUCGCCAAUUAAAGUGGUACGCGAGCUGGGUUCAGACCGUAAGUUAGUUGAAAGUCCAUAAAGCCAUAAAGUCCAUAAAGUCAGAGCGAUUUGCCAUGACUUUACAAGACUUUAUAGACUUUCGACUUUGGACUGAUUUACCGUCUGAAUCCCGAGGUUGGAUGAAUGGAUCCCACCAUUCAAUGUAUAAGACUUGUCCACGGCGGUCUCGAAAAGCGAUUUUCGAUGACACAGUUGACUGAUAUCGGUGAAGCCCGUAUCUCCGGGAGGGGAGCGAGGUAACACCUAGGGAAGACAGAGUCAUAAAGUUGAAAGACUUUACGGACUUGUGUCGCCCGUAGAGACUACACGUCAACCAUCUUCCUCUUUGCGUGAAGCCACGCGACGAUAAAAGAUGAUCAUAUAGUCCAUUCCGCACUGCAAGGUGCGAAAAGAAGCGUGAGACAGGUUGGUCUCCUAUCUGCUGCAGGCGUUGAUACUUGAGGGGAAUUGACUCUAGUACGAGAGGACCGAGUUGAACGAACCUCUGGUCUACCGGCUGUCGUGCCAACGGCACCGCCGGGCAGCUAUGUUCGGAUCGGAUAAGCGCUGAAAGCAUAUAAGCGCGAAGCCGGCCCCAAGAUCAGGUAUCGGUGAGGCCCGUGAGAGAUGAUCACGUUGAUAGGCUUUAGGUGUACGCGCCGCAAGGCGUUGAGCCGUGAAGUACUAAUCCGCCGAUCCUAUUAGGAAC